GACGAACGCUGGCGGCGUGCUUAACACAUGCAAGUCGAACGGAAAGGCCCCAUUUGGGGUACUCGAGUGGCGCACGGGGGCGUAACACGUGAGUAACCUGCCCUUGACUUCGGGAUAACUUCAGGAAACUGGGGCUAAUACCGGAUAGGAAUCCUUGCUGCAUGGUGGGGGUUGGAAAGCUUCGGCGGUUUUGGAUGGACUGGCGGCUUAUCAGCUUGUUGGUGGGGUAGUGGCUUACCAAGGCUUUGACGGGUAGCCGGCCUGCGAGGGCGACCGGCCACACUGGGACUGAGAGAGGGCCCAGACGCGGAAGGGAGGGAGAAGGGGGGAAUAUUGCACAAUGGGCGGAAGCCUGAUGCAGCAACGCCGCGGGCGGGAGGACGGCCUUCGGGUUGGAAAACGAUUUCAGCAGGGGCGAAGCUUGUGGUGACGGUACCUGAAGAAGAAGCACCGGCUAACUACGUG
rnacentral:rRNA from 1 species